UUAUCAGUGUGGGGAUAAUCGUAGCUGGUGCUUUUGUCGCGGGAGCUCGUGACUUGGCAUUUGAUGCUUUUUCCUAUUCAGUUGUAUUUAUAGAAAACAUGUCUAAGGCAGUAUACCUCGCUUCUGUUUCUCGUGUAGGCAAGAUUUCACCAUUUCCUUGUUUUGUCUCAUUCUUUUGAUUACUUUAGGCAUUCUUCAGUGAGUAUUUGCACAUUUUCAACUUUUCAUAGUGGUGAUUUGUGGACCGAUCUUGUUUCUCUGGUCCUUACUCAGAGGAGACCUUCAAGUAACACUAAACUUCCCAUAUUGUAUUCAUUUGAAUUAACUUUUUUAGUAUGUGAAAAUUAAUUGUUUUAAUGAUUUUCCCUCAUCUGCGAGAGGAUCCAAAGGCUCAAGAAGAAAUUUUACUUCCACUUUCAAGAUUAUGUUGAUUUGAUUAUCUGGAAGGUUGGGGCUUUGACAUUUCCGGUAGUAUGGCUGUAGCCAACCACUUCCGAUAGCAUUUUCUCUUUUAUUAUUCUUGUUUAAGUAUUUUCAGCAAAUGGAGAGCCUUGAGCCCGACGUUGCGGAUUGCUUGGAUGGUUGCACAACUGGUUGUGUUCAAAACGACUCGAGGCUUCAAGCACGGUGUGAAGGCAAGUGCAGCAUUAGAUACGGUCCAAGUGGCUGAGGAUUCAUUCUUUGUCAGACAUGGUGUAGCUUGGUGGUUUCUUAAUUUUGUUACUAAUUAUGAAAUAUGAAUUGUCUUUAAUUUCAGGUAUUUUUAAUGUUUUUGAAUAUUUUUGUAUGUAUGCACGAAUUUUUUGUUCUUAU